rnacentral:tRNA from 2 species
AAGACACUAGUUAAAUUUGUUAUAACAUUGCUUUGUCAAGGCAAAACUGUGGGUUAGAAUCCCGCGUGUCUUG